rnacentral:misc_RNA from 1 species
GAAAUGCGAUAAGUAAUGUGAAUUGCAGAAUUCAGUGAAUCAUCGAAUAUUUGAACGCACCUUGCGCUCCUUGGUAUUCCUUGGAGCAUGCCUGUUUGAGUAUCAUGAAAUCUUCAAAGUAAAUCUUUUGUUAACUCAAUUGGUUACUACUUUGGUAUUGGAGGUCUUUGCAGCUUCACACCUGCUCCUCUUUGUUCAUUAGCUGGAUCUCAGUGUUAUGCUUGGUUCCACUCGGCGUGAUAAGUUAUCUAUCGCUGAGGACACUGUAAAAGGUGGCCAAGGUAAAUGCAGAUGAACCGCUUCUAAUAGUCCAUUGACUUGGACAAUACUUUUAUGAUCUGAUCUCAAAUCAGGUAGGACUACCCGCUGAACUUAAGC